rnacentral:lncRNA from 7 species
GAGCGCGGGCCGCGCCACAGCGGCGGGUGGUGCGGGACGUGGUGCACUCUUCGCAGUCUCCUCCCUGAUCUGUGUCCCUGUGUGCCAGAAGCAUCGCUCAGUGAGACUUAAACAAGAAAUACCUUGUGCUACACUGCCACUUGUGCACCCUUGUUUGACUGAUGCUUGAUCCUGUCUGCUGGGAAGGCUGGCUGAAUGGAGGCAGACCCAUCUCCUCUUUCUCUCCUCUGGAACGUGCUUUCAGUCUGCUGCUGCAGUGCAGAUUUGCAGCUGGGUUCUGCUCAGGGUGUGUGGCUGCUCGGCCUCACUGCUGCUUUCCUGCACUGGAUGCGUGCACCUCCAGGAGUGUUGGUUCUUCUGCAUCUCAGGGAAGGAGACUCAUCCUCAUCUGCGCCCUUUUCAGCUGUGAAGGAAGUGUUGGUGCAGGGUCUCCAGGAGGGCCAUAGGUCCUAUGGGCCAACCUGGGCUCAUCCAUGCAGAGCUCCUCCUGGCGCAGUGUGUCUGCCAUAUCCCAGUAGGAUAGAGGAUCCCUGCUGGCUGAGUGCUGCCCUGCGGUGUGGACAGAGGGAGAAGAGGACCCUGAGCUGGGCUCGAUGCCAACAGAGGCAUUUGGUGUGGGCAGCGGGAUGGUUCCCAGCGCCCAUCCACCUCAUGGCCAUGCACAGGGCAGAGCACAGGGCACUGCUCAGCCCCCUCCAUGAGUCCCUCUGCAGACUAAACAGCCGUUUCUGAUGAAAAACAUCCCCCUAAAAAGCCAACGAGCAAAACCACGGCCUCCCUUAACGAUAUUUGCUUUGUGGUUUGGGUUUGGAAUAUCUUCCCUACAACUGAAGAGCAAAACCCUCUCUCGACUGGAAGCGCUUUUGAUUUCCUCCCUUCCCAAGGCUCCUCGGGGACAUUGGCAGCACCGUGGUUUGUCACCGUGGACUCUCCCCUUGUUGGGACCCCAUGGGAUCAUUGACUGGAGGAUGAAGGGGUUUCUCCAUGCGAUGAGCUGCAGCCACUGUGCUCCCUCCGUGGACCGUUCCAACUCCUUCCAACGCGGUUGUAUUUUAUCCGUGGAGCUCUGUAAGGAUUUUGUUCCGUCAUCCUGGAAUUUUUAUGACUCCUUUGUGUGUAUAUAAUGCGAUUGCCCUGGAACAGAGAGAAAUUAAUCAU